CCAACUAAACUGCUACAAGGUAACCGGCUAGUGUAACCAACUAAACUGCUACAAGGUAACCGGCUAGUGUAACCAACUAAACUGCUACAAGGUAACCGACUAGAUUGUAACAGUGUAACCAACGAAACUGCUACAAGGUAACCGACCAGUGUAACCAACUUAGCUGCUACAAGGUAACCGGCUAGUGUAACCAACUAAACUGCUACAAGGUAACCGGCUAGUGUAACCAACUAAACUGCUACAAGGUAACCGGCUAGUGUAACCAACUAAACUGCUACAAAGUAACCGGCUAGUGUAACCAACUAAACUGCUACAAGGUAACCAGCUAGUGUAACCAACUAAACUGCUACAAGGUAACCGGCUAGUGUAACCAACUAAACUGCUACAAGGUAACCGGCUAGUGUAACCAACUAAACUCCAACAAGGUAACCGGCUAGAUUGUUGCAGUGUAACCGACUAAACUGCUACAAGGUAACCGGCUAGAUUGUUACAGCGUAACCAACUAAACUAUUACAAGGUAACCAGUUAGAUUGCUGCAGUGUCACCAAUGUUCAGAUAGUCCGGGAUUGCUGGAUUACAGAGAUUCUCUCUCAGGGUUGCAGUGUUCAGGUAGUCCGGGAUUGCUGGAUUACAGAGCUCCACUCUCAGGGUUGCAGUGUUCAGAUAGUCCGGGAUUGCUGGAUUACAGAGCUCCACUCUCAGGGUUGCAGUGUUCAGAUAGUCCGGGAUUGCUGGAUUACAGAGCUCCUCUCUCAAGGUUGCAGUGUUCAGGUAGUCCGGGAUUGCUGGAUUACAGAGCUCCUCUCUCAGGGUUGCAGUGUUCAGAUAGUCCGGGAUUGCUGGAUUACAGAGCUCCUCUCUCAGGGUUGCAGUUUCAGGUAGUCCGGGAUUGUUGGAUUACAGAGCUCCUCUCUCAGGGUUGCAGUGUUCAGAUAGUCCGGGAUUGUUGGAUUACAGAGCUCCUCUCUCAGGGCUGCAGUGUUCAGAUAGUCCGCGAUUUCUGGAUUACAGAGCUCCUCUCUCAGGGUUGCAGUGUUCAGAUAGUCCGGGAUUGCUGGAUUACAGAGCUCCUCUCUCAGGGUUCAGAUAGUCCGGGAUUGCUGGAUUACAGAGCUCCUCUCUCAGGGUUGCAGUGUUCAGAUAGUCCGGGAUUGCUGGAUUACAGAACUCCUCUCUCAGGGUUGCAGUGUUCAGGUAGUCCGGGAUUGUUGGAUUACAGAGCUCCUCUCUCAGGGUUGCAGUGUUCAGGUAGUCCGGGAUUGUUGGAUUACAGAGCUCCUCUCUCAGGGUUGCAGUGUUCAGGUAGUUUGGGAUUGAUGGAUUACAGAACUCCUCUCUCUGGUUGCAGUGUUCAGGUAGUCCGGGAUUGUUGGAUUACAGAGCUCCUCUCUCAGGGUUGCAGUGUUCAGGUAGUUUGGGAUUGAUGGAUUACAGAACUCCUCUCUCUGGUUGCAGUGUUCAGGAAGUCCGGGAUUGCUGGAUUACAGAGCUCCUCUCUCAGGGUUGCAGUGUUCAGGUAGUCCGGGAUUGCUGGAUUACAGAGCUCCUCUCUCAGGGUUGCAGUGUUCAGAUAGUCCGGGAUUGAUGGAUUACAGAGCUCCUCUCUCAAGGUUGCAGUGUUCAGGUAGUCCGGGAUUGAUGGAUUACAGAACUCCUCUCUUAGGGUUGCAGUGUUCAGAUAGUCCGGGAUUGCUGGAUUACAGAGCUCCUCUCUUAGGGUUGCAGUGUUCAGAUAGUCCGGGAUUGCUAGAUUACAGAGCUCCUCUCUCAGGGUUGCAGUGUUCAGGUAGUCCGGGAUUGCUGGAUUACAGAGCUCCUCUCUCAGGGUUGCAGUGUUCACAUAGUCCAGGAUUGCUGAAUUACAGAGCUCCUCUCUCAGGGUUGCAGUGUUCACAUAGUCCAG
rnacentral:lncRNA from 1 species